AUUGAACGCUGGCGGCAUGCCUUACACAUGCAAGUCGAACGGCAGCAUGAUCUAGCUUGCUAGAUUGAUGGCGAGUGGCGAACGGGUGAGUAAUACAUCGGAACGUGCCCUGUAGUGGGGGAUAACUAGUCGAAAGAUUAGCUAAUACCGCAUACGACCUGAGGGUGAAAGUGGGGGACCGCAAGGCCUCAUGCUAUAGGAGCGGCCGAUGUCUGAUUAGCUAGUUGGUGAGGUAAAGGCUCACCAAGGCGACGAUCAGUAGCUGGUCUGAGAGGACGAGCAGCCACACUGGGACUGAGACACGGCCCAGACUCCUACGGGAGGCAGCAGUGGGGAAUUUUGGACAAUGGGGGCAACCCUGAUCCAGCAAUGCCGCGUGUGUGAAGAAGGCCUUCGGGUUGUAAAGCACUUUUGUCCGGAAAGAAAUCGCACUUACUAAUAUUAGGUGUGGAUGACGGUGCCGGAAGAAUAAGGACCGGCUAACUACGUGCCAGCCGCCGCGGUAAUAC
rnacentral:rRNA from 1 species